GUUUUCUCUCUGUUGUGCACAUGAUGAAUUAAGUUGGUCUACUUACCAAAGGCAGAGUAGCACAGUGCAUGGCAAAUACUUCAGUAGUCUCAUUAUUUGAAGAAAAGGGUUUGAAUGUUGAAUCCAUGUUGCAAGUGACCAACUAAUUAAUUAAAGUGCUAAAAUUCCAUCUUUAAUUAAAAAAUAAAGAAAGAAUUGGAGAGGCUUUACGUGCACGUU
rnacentral:misc_RNA from 1 species